rnacentral:rRNA from 1 species
GACGAACGCUGGCGGCGUGCUUAACACAUGCAAGUCGAACGGACGGGCCCUGCUCUUGUGGGGUGCUCGAGUGGCGAACGGGUGAGUAACACGUGAGUAACCUGCCCUUGACUUUGGGAUAACUUCAGGAAACUGGGGCUAAUACCGGAUAGGAGCUCCUGCUGCAUGGUGGGGGUUGGAAAGUUUCGGCGGUUGGGGAUGGACUCGCGGCUUAUCAGCUGGUUGGUGGGGUAGUGGCUUACCAAGGGUUUGACGGGUAGCCGGCCUGAGAGGGGGACCGGCCACAUUGGGACUGAGAGACGGCCCAGACUCCUACGGGAGGCAGCAGUGGGGAAUAUUGCGCAGUGGGCGGAAGCCUGAUGCAGCGACGCCGCGUGCGGGAUGACGGCCUUCGGGGUGUAAACCACUUUCGCCGGUGACGAAGAGUAAGUGACGGUAAUGGGUAAGGAAGCAACGGCUAACUACGUG